UAAUCCGACCUUAGCUCAGUUGGUAGAGCGGAGGACUGUAGUGGGAUAACUUCUCAAAGAAAUCCUUAGGUCGCUGGUUCGAAUCCGGCAGGUCGGAU